CUGGGGCGGUUUUUCGACGUUGCGGCGGAGAAACAGCAGGCGGUGUGGCCGGCGGUUGCUAGGCGGCUGGGGAAGGUUGGUCCAAUGAGGAGAGUCGGUCGUCAGGAGGGGCAGCGGACUGCGGUUGUUGGAUUGUCAGCUCCACUUCCUAUUUGAUUUCCACUAACUGACAUUCCAAAGAGCGCUGGAGGAAGAAGCUCAAAGUCUGUUCUGGGAUUUUCCAGGGCAGGGUACUUCAUCGUAACAAAACCGAGACGCAAAUCCUAACGGCUUGCAAGUUUCCUCCAGGAAGGAUGAUUCUAACUGAAGAUUAAGUCCACCUCUUGCACGCUUCGAGAAACGCCCAGGAGUUAGGAAAUGCAUCUCCGUGGUCUCCCCAUCCUAGAGGGCUCGCCUCAGAGACGUCGGCACCAGCAGUUCAGGAGACCACGCAUCGUUUUUAAAUCCCAACACUCCCUAUUUCUCCACCGCGGCGCCAGGCGGCGCAGCAGGGCGGUAGGAACACUGCGCGUGCGCAGCGGGCGGACGGUUGCGGAGACAGUGUCGCCGGUCACCUUCUGUUUCCCUGGGCAGCAUGAAGACCGGCGAGGACGCCAGAGGAGAGGGCAGUACGGGGCCGCAGAAGCUAGGACUCUGCGUCCUCUGCGGCCUGCCCGCAGCAGGAAAAUCGACCUUCGCACGGGCCCUCAGCCACCGGCUACAGCAAGAGCGAGGCUGGGCCGUGUGCGUCGUCGCCUAUGAUGACGUCAUGCCAGACGCGUUCCUCCGGGAGGCGAGCGCACGGCCAUUGCCAUCCCAGUGGAAAUUGCUUCGACAGGAACUCUUGAAGUACCUAGAAUACUUCCUGAUGGCUGUCAUUAACGGGUGUCAGAUGUCUGCCCCUCCCGACAGAACUGAAGCCAUGUGGGAAGAUUUUAUAACCUGCUUAAAGGAUCAAAAUCUGAUAUCUUCUGCAGCGUGUGAGGCCCAGUCUUGCUACCUCUUAACAAAGACUGCUGUUUCUGGACCUUUGUUUUUGAUUUUAGAUGACAACUUUUAUUAUCAAAGUAUGAGAUAUGAAGUCUACCAACUGGCUCGGAAAUAUUCAUUAGGCUUUUGCCAGGUGUUUUUAGAUUGUUCUCUUGAGACCUGUUUACAGAGGAAUGGCCAGAGACCACAGGCACUGCCUGCCGAGACCAUCCACCUGAUGGAAAGAAAGAUAGAAAAGCCCAACCCUGAGAAAAAUGCUUGGGAACACAACAGCCUCACCAUUCAGAGUCCAGCAUGUUCUCCUGAAGCCAGCCUGAAGUUGACUGAUUUAUUGCUUACUGCUUUGGAAAAUCCAGUGAAAUGUGUGGAGGACAAUGUGGAACAAAAGGAAACAGACAGAAUUACUUGUUCAACUAACAUUCUUCAUCAAGCUGAUCAGACACUCCGAAGAAUCGUCUCUCAGACGAUGAAGGAAGCGAAAGGGGAAUCAGGAAGGCUUCUCAGAGGAGAUGACAUUUGAGCUGGGAUGUGAAUGAAAGGAAGGAGCAAGCCCUGCAGAGGGAGAUCAUUCCAGGCGGUGGACACAACAAGUGCGGACGCCCAGAGGUAAAGUUGUUUGAUGCACAAGUGCUUCCUUACAACUUGAAGCUUCUAGCAGAAGAACUUAACAAGCUGAAAGCAGAGUUUUUGGAAGACCUAAGACAAGGAAACAAAAAAUAUCUGUGCUUUCAACAAACCACUGACAUAGCAG